rnacentral:rRNA from 1 species
UACGAAGGGUGCAAACGUUGCUCGGAAUUAUUGGGCGUAAAGCGCUCGUAGGCGGCAUUGCAAGUCGGAUGUGAAAUCCCUCGGCUUAACCAAGGAAGUGCAUCCGAAACUGCAGUGCUUGAGUACUUAAGAGGAUCGCGGAAUUCCCGGUGUAGAGGUGAAAUUCGUAGAUAUCGGGAGGAACACCAGUGGCGAAGGCGGCGAUCUGGGAAGAUACUGACGCUGAGGAGCGAAAGCGUGGGGAGCGAACAGG